CAUCACUGAUUGCUUAAUAGACAAUAUGUCCCAAUGCCAUAAGAAAAAUACGAUAUCCUUGUAUAUUUCAAAUAUAUAUCCAUAAUGUAGCAUACUUCAGCGAAUAGCAAAGUCCAUGCCUGUAUUUUUAAUUCACGUUUUUAAAGAUAACAAAAUAACGCAUUGUAUAAACAUAAAAAGUGAUAAAUGAAAACCGCUCAGGUGUCAUGCUCAAAUAAAUCCACGGAAGAUUCAUUGAUGGACUGUUACCUAUGCAACGUAAGAGACAUGUAUUCCUGUCUUCAACACUAGUGGGCAUUUAUAUCGAUAUAUUCAACAUUAGUAAGUAUUUAUUUUCCAAUUGUCAACGCUUGUGAGUAUAGAUUUUUGUUUUCCCAUAGAAUAAACUAAUAUAGGUGCGUCGCUAUGUACAAGUUAUAUAUAUUUACCCGGAAUGUACAAAUUAUACGUUUAUUUAAUAUCUACAAGGUUUAUGUUUUAUUAGUGUCUACAAGCUAUAAAUGUACUCGGUAAGUAUGAUGUAUACAUCUGCUUACUAUUUACAUGUUAUAUAUUUACUUGGUAUGUACACGUUACACGUUUAUUCGGUAUACGAGUAUUUUGUGCGUCCGGAGAGAACGGGAUGAUAAUACUUCUAAUAACGACAAACAUCACAAACAUGGAAGAUUGUAAGUAUUCAAUGUUUCAAUCAAUAUUUCUAUCAUCUUAUUUGAACAUUUCAAGAGAUCAGAAAAGUGGACGUGUUUCUCUGUUGCUUCGACAAUGACAUGGUCUGCAUGUAGUCGGGAUUUUGGGAGAACACGGUCGGAUGCUGACAGCUGCUUUGUGUUACCAGGACUUCAGCCAUUUCCUUUGAGUUCGGCAUUUCGCAAGUUCUAUGGCCGAUAUGAUUAUCCCGCUUACAUGAUGGAAACAGAGGGUUUACGGCGGGUGUGGCCGAUCAACAACGAAUGUUGCCUCCUCCUAGACAGCUGAAUCCCCGUCAGUGUUUCUAAUGAUGGGGAUUAUAUCACCAGUAAGAGAAGGAACAAUAUGGCCACUUGAUGCUUCCCAUUCUGUUUAAUGGACAACCCACUACUGACACUCCACUUCAAUUGGCCAUACUGUGAAUUAGCAUCCGCUUCGACCGGAGGGAGAGUGAACCUUCGAUGAACUGGGGAUUCACUCUGCGGAAAUACAUUACUCCCAUCUGUUAAACUCUUGUUAAACUCUUGUAAUUACAGGGAACAUCCAUGUAGUAAUUUCCAGCCUUCGUGACUACGGAAGGAAUCAGAAGUAUCGAAAUCCCGUAGGAAUUUCAACCAAACCUUGAAUGAAGUGGUUUUUGCACGACCUACUUUAUGUAUGGUGAAUUGAAAAUACUCCACGUGUAAAAUGGUACACGAUGACAAAGAUACCCAAGGGUAUUUAUUCAGGAAUUCAUCUCUUAACUAAUUAUGGACAAAUUGGCAAUUUUUGGUAUAAAUUACCAGACUACUAACAAUUUUCAUAUCAAUGGAAACCAUUGGUAAAGAUGCAUCGAGGAAACUCUGAUCAGGAGAUAUAUCAGUCAUAACCAGAUCCACAACAGUUGAAAUCCGCAGAAAUCAACUCUAAGUUGUUGAAGGACUUAUUGAACCACGUUAUCUAGCAGUCCAUGUCUGAAAGUUACGCCGUUCCGGAAUGCACAUCGAGGACGAUAUGCCGAGGGUUGUAUACGGAGUGUCAGUAUGUGACGAUACACGGUACACUGUCCGUCAUUGAGAAAAUAAAGAUAACACACGUGUUCUAAUAUGGUAUGGUAAUCUGACGAGAAACUGACGUUCUGUUUGAAUAUAAAUUAUAUUUAGACAUGGCGGAUUUGAAAUAAAUGGUUUAAACUUUCAUUUGUUAACUUUCAACAACGUUUCAUUAUCUACUUUUAAAUUUUGAAUGUUUAUUUGUGAUUUCCUAAAAUACAUUGACUAUAUCCAAUAUUUAGAAAAGAAACUUGGAGUAGUAGGCUAAUACAAAACUCCAACAACUGUGUACACUUGGCAACUUUUAAUCACCAUGGAGAUAUGGCUGAAAUAUCUUUAACGCGAUGUAAAACACCAUGAUGGCAGUGGACUGAUUUCGAAAAGAGACAAUCUAAAUAAAUCUGUUACAUAAAAAAUGCCCUCAAACGUUCUUAAACUUAUAUAUUUUCAAACUUAUCUUCACGGUGAUAAUCACAUACGGAAAGGAUUAAACUGUUACCAUAUACAGGGGGGCAUUAUGUAGUUUCACAUGUUUCAUUUUUGAAUCUUUGAAAGUGGAUGGCUACAUGUUUGUCAUAAUAAGCAUUUAUUGUAUGGAGACAGCGCAUUUUAUUUAUUUUCUAUUGGGUUGUUAGAUGACGCAUUUGAAAGACAUGUCUAAUUUUCUACCAUUUCUUUAUAUGAGCAUUAUAUAUGUUCCUGGUUAGCUAUGUCAUCUUGUUGUAUGGAUGCAAUGUCACAGUAAAAUGUUUCCUUUUUUAAAAUUAAGCAUAAGUCUUUUUAAACUCUGAUACAAAUUUUGAUGGAAUUCAUGAUAGGUGGGGUCAGGAGCUUAGGCAGAAUACCAGAAGCCCCUCUUCACCGGGUACACCUAAUGUGAGUCAUAUAUUUUGACCAGGAAAACAUAAGUAACCUGUAGUUAAAAUCACUAUGUAAAGAAUGACCUAAUAAUUGAUAUGCAGCACGUCAGAUUCUGCCGUUGCGGAAAUAUUAUCUUACAUUUCAACUUAUACAUCCCAGAAUGCAACAGAAAACCACGCAUUACCCAAUUUCAGAUUGGUUAAGAGACCUGCAGGUUGCUUAAUCAGUUCAAUAAACCUAAGAGAAAAACAUGUAUCAUCAAACUAAAUUAUUUCAAUGAUUGAUUAAAUAUUGUUUAUCGUCCCUCUCGAGAAUAUUUCACUGAUAAAGAGAAGUCACCAUUGCCGGUGAAGGGCUACAAAAUUUAGGCCUAUGCUCGGCGCUUAUGACCUUUGAGCAGGGAGGGAUCUUUAUCGCACCACACCUGCUGUGACAUGGGACCUCGGUUUUUGCGGUCUUAUCCGAAGGACCGCCCCAUUUACUCGCCUUCUACGAUAAACAAUUUCCAUGUUGAUCCUACCCAAAUACUCUAUGAUAAAUUAAAACCACUAUGCACCGUAUACGAUAUAUUUGUGCAUUUUAAAGUUAUACUAUACAUAUGGCGCUAUAUUGCAUUAUAUAAGCGCUUCCUGGCAGUGCAACUAGCUAAAAUCACAAAAGUUUACAGACCUUGAAAAUAUAAUUUGCUGUGAAGUUUCUUUAUAUCGAUAUUUGAAAUAAUUUUCCAAACGAAAAGCAGAAAAAUGAAGAGAAUAAAACAAUAUCUAUCAAAUAUACAUAAACACAAACAAAAUAAAAUAUAUUCGAUUCAACUUGAAUUCAGGAUGAUCAACGUUCGUUAUUUUCACCUUUCAUGUGUUACGAGAUUGAUCUCUAUUCGUUUUCUCCACCUUGCUUUCAAACGUUCGAAAGUUUCAAAAACAGUUUUCCCCAUCGACUACGUACCUCAAAUCGCUUGACUCGACUCUGAUUUAGUGUUUUGUCAGUGUGAUACGAUAGCUUUGGUUAAUCGGUUUUCAUAGCGGUCUAUUAUUUAUCUGUGAAUCCAUCAUUAUUAGGAGCUUACUUGCACAUUUGAUGCAUAUACAUGUACAUUAUUUAAUAAGUGGGGAAGUGAACAAAUCAUCUAAACUCUUACAGCGUUUAUAUGACACAAUGGGUAAUUCAGGGAGAAUUACUUUGUACUGUUAAUUCUCUAUAAGGAGAUACCACUAUUUUGAUGAUAUCUGUUAUUUUUUGGAGUCAAGGCUUGCAUUCGAUUACAAAAAACAAACAAACAAGAAAGUGGGAUAUUUGUGUUUUGAUAGCAGUUUGCACUGUCUGCACUGUGUCUCUGUUUGACAUUUUGUCCAUGUUAAUUUCAUUUUAGGACAACCUGUUUUUGAGAUCAGUUUAAUUUGAAAAAAUUUCGUUACUUGCAAUAGUUUGACUUUUUUUCCCUUAAAUAUCGAAUAGUAUCACUCUAAAUGAAUCCUUUAAAAAAUAGAAUUGUGAGCACCCUUGUGAUCCAAAGAUUGGAAAAUAUUUAUGAGUUUAAUGCAUACUUUGAUCAUUAUUAUUGAAUUAGUUUCCUUUGUAUGUAAUUUUAUCUAAGAUAUGCAUACUUUACUUUGAAAUUACGUGUGUGAAUUUCAGUAAUGGAUGAUGAGUAUUGGCUUUAGCGAAAAGAUUAAUGAUCACAGUCUCAUGAAUGAUAAUUAACCCAUCCUCACUUUUUUGUUUAGAAUUUUGUUGAUGAGUUGAUGCAUGCAGAGGUUGGAUCAGGUGUUAGGAAAUGUAAACAUCACGUGUCGACCGGUUACACCCGCUGUGAGCCCCGCAUGUCUUGAUCAGGCAAACGGAGUAAUCCGUAGUCAAAAUCAAUGUGUUAAGAACAGCCUAACAAUAAUCAAUUUACUAUUGGGUAUUGAAAAUUGUGAAACAAUAUGCUUUCUUAUCAGUCAUCGUGCUUACAAUAAAUGGUUACAAACUAUAAUCCUGGUCUUUCUGUUCAUCAGUUGUCUUAGCUUUGUUCACGGUCUUACAAGUGCUGGCAUCGACUGUUAACGUCCUUGGAUAGGUGAUUUGUAAUAGUAGGACAUGUUCUUUGUGUUGUGGGAUCGAUAAAGUUUCAUGGCAACUACUGGUUUGUCAAAGUUGCGAAUAAAGGAUGCGUUGAAUUUAUUUCUUGAAACUUCUUGAAACUUGUGUGGAAAUUCUCAGUGUAAUACCCCCCAAAACUUGAAAAUGUAGCUAUCCACCCAAAUCAUGACGUGGAAUUCUAAUUAAAUCAAACGAUUGAAUAAAUCUAAAUGAACGUAUUUCUACGAUUCCAUAAAAAAUAUCGAUCACUAGAAUUUGAGGUAACCCUACGUUGGUUUGUAUAUCUGUAUAUAUCUCUGAAUACCCAACGUAGAUUGUAUUCCUUUUAUAUUUGUUUGUACAUAAUAUCUUUAAACAAAGUUUUAAGUCAUCAUUAAUUGGCAUACAAUCGGAAUACAACACUCGUCGCGAAUAGAUGGAUAAGUUCCGCGUACUACAGUGUAAGUACAUACAUCCGGAGAUUUUGAUGAUUCUACUAUCAGCCAAUGUAGCCUAUUGUGAUCUAUUAACACGAUAAAGUCAAUGGCUGAGAGUGCAUUUCCGUCUGUUACAAUUGUAAAAUAACAGUCAGUUCAACAUUUGAUAUGUUACUUUCUAUUUGAUGAGAUUCUCAGAUAAAGAAUUUAAAUGCAUUUUACAUGUUUAAUGGGUUGACUUUCUUAUGUUAUUUGCUAAAUAGAAUGAGCAAAAAUAGGCAAAACUUACUUUAAUUCCUAAAAAGAAACAGUGACGAGAUAAUCAAUUCUACACUGUAGAGACAUAUACCGUACCACAUUCCUGAGUUCGUGUGUAUAUCAAUCAAUAUAAAUAUAUGUAUAUAUCUGUCUAUUUACAUUAAUCCUCGCUACCUUAUUCUAGAAAUUAGAUAGAAUCACCUGGAUACUACAAUAGUUUAUUUGAUAUUUGUAACAUUUCUUGUUUGAUAAAGUGUUACCAAAAUGCACAAAGGCUAAGCCCGUUCUGGGUCCGAACUCUGUGAUACCAUUACUGUAGAAAGGGGUCUAACUCUUACCCAGAUAAAGAAAACUACCCACUCGCUUCAAUUGCCUAAACAACCAGAAACUAGGUGCGAUAUGCGUAAUUUGCCGGUCUCCUUGCAUAGAAUAAUGUUAUAACUAACUAUAUGUCCCAGCAACAUGUUCUUGAAAUAACAGAGAUAUUCGUCAUAGCUCUCUAGAUUCCACCUGUUUGUUGUUAGUAGGACAGUUACCGGUCCAGGUCAACUGGUUGUAUCUUGCCUAUGACAGCAGUGGAAUUCAGACUAAUGUGGAAGAUUUUGGUCCUAUCAAUUAAAAUUUCAUACCAAAUAUACGUUAGUUACUUCCUCAUACAUGUACUUUAAUAAUGUUUCUAUAUUCGUUCUAUCUUGGUUGUUUCUUUUAGAAAAGAUCAACUCCUGACUCUAUCUGCUACUAAAGACCUGAAAUACCUGAAUCUUGAAAGAAGGUGAAAAUGGGUAAAACUGAUCUAAAUGAAAUAAAAUAGACAAAAAAGAUUAAGAAAGCCAAAAAAUAAUGUUCAAUCUAUUUCUCUAGGUCCAAUGUCACAAGAAAAAUGUUUUGAUCAGUUGUAAGGUUUUUAAGAUUAAGUAUACAGUGUCUUUCAUUAAAAUGACAGUUGAUGCUGCUGAGGAGAAAUUGAGUCGUGUAACGUCUACACGAAGAGCAUUAUGAACGUAUGAGGAAGUAAGCAGCGGACAUCUGAUGUGAAAUUUUAAUCGAUACGUCCGAAAUCCCUGUAAAAUGAACAUGUUUAUCAAUGACAUAAGGCCUCGUGUAUUGCAAGUUUUAAAUCUUAGAGAAAAUUCGAGUCUAAAUAUUUAUGCAAUUUAAUCAUUAUCGUCAAAAAAGCGAAUGUAUUUCAAUACACUGUCCUUUUUAUAUUGUCAAGUCACACCUCAUUGACAGGAGAGCUAUUGCGUUGUCACAUGAAAAAAAACCCAGCAAAUAUCUUUGAAACUAAAAUGAUUUCCUUCACGAAUAGACGAAAAUCAUAUACCUUGUAUUCUUAUUUCAUUAACAAGCCCUGUGGAAAAUGACUCAUGCGUUACAUUAAAUUUGGAAUUUCAGAACUAUAGAUAUCUGUGUCUGGGUUCGUGUCCGGGUUCUUGUUUGCCCUACUCUGGUUUUGUAUUAUUUAUAGGAAUGAAAUUGAUCACUAUUCCUUGAUCUUCACGUUUGAUGAAUCCUUUCCGAUCUUUCCAAAUGUGGAGUUAAGAGAUUGUUUAAAUAUUGGCAAGGUUGAACUCCAGCAUCUUUGCAUAUUUUUUAUAGGAAGUCCAGAGUAUUUUACGUAGAAUCAGAGUAGUGUGUAACAAAUUAACGGGUUUUUUUAUGACUGAUCACAAGAUAUGUAUGUUCCUGUGCUCUAUUUCAAUUCAGAAAGCAACUGACAAGGGUUUGAAAAGUCCUCUAUAACGUCAGCAUUUCGUACAUUCUAUCAUAUUUACUUAGUGAUUUAAUUCGCAAAUAGGAACUAUCACUGGGUCCAAUAAUAUCUGACGUGUUUCGUACCAGAUGUUAGGUCUUUCUUUACACAUUUAUUUCAACUACUGAUUACGCCGUUUACCUAAUCAAGACAAAAGGCCCAGGACGGAUGUGGCCGGUGAACAGGGAAUGCUUACUCAUUCUUGGCACUUGAUCCAACCUCUGUUCUGUCAAGGGGUCCUUGUUUACCCUAUCCUUGAUUUUGUAAUCUUUUAAAAUUAUGAGAUUAAUCACUGUUCAUCUUCUUCACCUUUCAUCCACAAGUCAAUUGAAAUGAAGACAUGGCACAGAUACACUGAUCCUUUGGGAAUCCGGGUUAGAAUGGUCAUUACUACCCCUUGCUUGUCGUAAGAGGUGAUUAAAUGGGAGGGUUCUUCGGAUGAGACCGCAAAAACAGAGGCCCGGUGUCACAACAGAUGUGGCACGAUAUAUAUUCCUCCCUGCCCAAAGGCCAUAAGCGCCGAACGUAGGCCUAAAUGUUGGAGGCCUUCACCGGCAAUGGUGACGUUUCCAUAUCAGUGAAAAAUUCCCUCAAGGGACGUUAAACAAUUUACAAUAUGUUUAGAAUUUCAAUAGCGGAAGUGUCGUGCGGUUAUUUUGAAAAGUUUACAUAGCAAUGACCUAUGAGAUUUAAGUGUAUUAUUAUUACAUGUUCGAUUGCGAAUCCCGGGGUUGUGUUGUCACUUUCUAGCACACGCACGCUCUUCUUGAGCAAGUCUCGUUUUUUUUAUGUUAGUUAUAUUUGAAUUAAAACAGCAAUUUCUUUUGUUGUUGUUGUUGUAAAAAUGAGGGUCCGCCAUUUAUUUUGUUUACCUCGCAUUAUAUUGCCGCGGACACACAGGUUUCCAUAGUUUUUCACAAACGUUGUGAUUUUUAUCUAUGGUUUUUCCUGGGUGGCGAGGGAAGCAUAUUUUUGAUAUCUUGAAAAUAUAAGUAUUACAAGUUUGUGUUUUGUCAAACAAUGUCUAUGAUUGCUUUGUAUUACGUGUUGUUUCUGGUGUAUAUGUACUCAAAAUAAAUAUCAUCUCGCACGAUGCAUUGUAUUAUAAAAUUGAUGUUUCACUGGUUUGUUUGUUUACUUAGAAAUGUUUACAUAACACAAAUUAUGUUUUUUAUUCCUGCAUUUAGAAGGUCAAAUUGUUGGCUGUCAACAUUAAAUGAGUUAUAUUUUAAUGUUUGACAUAAAAAAUGAAACUCAUCAACUCUUCCAUUUAU